rnacentral:rRNA from 1 species
AUUGAACGCUGGCGGCAUGCCUUACACAUGCAAGUCGAACGGCAGCGGACCUUCGGGUGCCGGCGAGUGGCGAACGGGUGAGUAAUAUAUCGGAACGUACCUUUCAGUGGGGGAUAACGUAGCGAAAGUUACGCUAAUACCGCAUAUUCUGUGAGCAGGAAAGCAGGGGAUCGCAAGACCUUGCGCUGAUUGAGCGCGAUAUCAGAUUAGCUAGUUGGUGAGGUAAAGGGACUCACCAAGGCGACGAUCUGUAGCGGGUCGUGAGAGGAUGAUCCGCCACACUGGAACUGAGACACGGUCCAGACUCCUACGGGAGGCAGCAGUGGGGAAUUUUGGACAAUGGGCGGCAAGCCUGAUCCAGCCAUGCCGCGUGAGUGAAGAAGGCC